rnacentral:rRNA from 1 species
ACGUAGGUGGCAAGCGUUGUCCGGAAUUAUUGGGCGUAAAGCGCGCGCAGGCGGUCCUUUAAGUCUGAUGUGAAAGCCCACGGCUCAACCGUGGAGGGUCAUUGGAAACUGGGGGACUUGAGUGCAGAAGAGGAAAGUGGAAUUCCACGUGUAGCGGUGAAAUGCGCAGAUAUCAGGAGGAACACCGGUGGCGAAGGCGGUUCUCUGGGCAUUACCUGACGCUGAGGAGCGAAAGCAUGGGGAGCGAACAGGA